rnacentral:rRNA from 1 species
CCUACGGGUGGCAGCAGUGGGGAAUAUUGGACAAUGGGGGCAACCCUGAUCCAGCCAUGCCGCGUGUGUGAAGAAGGCCCUCGGGUUGUAAAGCACUUUCAGUGAGGAAGAACGCCUGGUGGUUAAUACCCAUCAGGAAAGACAUCACUCACAGAAGAAGCACCGGCUAACUCCGUGCCAGCAGCCGCGGUAAUACGGAGGGUGCGAGCGUUAAUCGGAAUUACUGGGCGUAAAGCGCGCGUAGGUGGCUUGAUAAGCCGGUUGUGAAAGCCCCGGGCUCAACCUGGGCACGGCAUCCGGAACUGUCAAGCUAGAGUGCAGGAGAGGAAGGUAGAAUUCCCGGUGUAGCGGUGAAAUGCGUAGAGAUCGGGAGGAAUACCAGUGGCGAAGGCGGCCUUCUGGACUGACACUGACACUGAGGUGCGAAAGCGUGGGUAGCAAACAGGAUUAGAUACCCGAGUAGUC